GCCUUCUUAGCGCAAUUGGCAGCACAUCAGUCUCAUAAUCUGAAAGUCCUGCGUUCAAGCCUCAGAGAAGGCA